UUAAGGUUUGGAGGUUAGAGGGUUAUGGGUUGAGGGGUAUGGGUUAGAGUGAGACUUUAUAUAACUCCUGACUGAGGAAAAACCUCAAAGUGGUUUAUAAAAAAGGAUUGCUGCCUAAAAUGUCUUAUUUCCUUAUUUCUUUUUAUUCAUACAGUAUUUUAAAACAGGAAAAUUCAGUCUGAGCUGCUGUUCACAGUGAAGGUGUAGGAUACAGGAUUCCUUUAUUUGUGUCCCAGGAAAUGAAACAUUGCACUCCACUGGAGACGCUUCACUUUUUUAAAGCUCAUUUUGUGUAUUAUUAUUUUUUAAAAUCAAGCAAAUGGAAAUGCUGACGGUCAGUCCCUUAGAGGGAGGUCUUAUUUAAAUCAACGUGAAAUGCUUGCAAGUGGGAAGUGUUUAGGGCUGCUUGUCACAUUCAUUUCCUAAAAAGAAGCAGGGAGUUUCAUUUUUAAAACUGUACUAAUAGAGAUUCAACACAAGAGUGUGCCAGUGCAUUUGAAAGCUGAACUGAUUUUCAUUUUCAGCUUUCACCUAGAAAUCCAAGCAACAUCAAAGCAGCUGGGAGGCCUGCCCAGCCCAGCAAUGUUUCACAGAUGAAAAUGCAUUGGCAAUCUUGCAGCACCUCCCUCUUCAUAAGGAGGAUCCCUCCUAUUAGGACACAUUGCUGAAGGCUUUUCUACUCUUUCGUGGCCAUUGCCUCUGCAGUAGCCUGUCCUCUUCUGACUUAAAAGCCAAGAGGGUGAGUGACCAUCUCAAGAAGAUCAGCCAGGCCUCCAUGCGCACAGCAUAGCAGCAAGUGCAAGGCGAUCAUAAAAGCUGUCACACAUUAUUGUGGACACCUGGCACCCGUCUGUCUUGAGAGACAAUGGAGUGUGCCUCCAGGGAUGAAGUCCAAGUGUUGGAGAAUCACAGCACCCAUUGUGACUGCAGAGACUGGUAACUUGCAACUGCUGCCUCCCACAUUGUUUCUGCUGCGUUAGCAGAACUGAAGUAACCUCCUUGGGCCACAAGCCUGGACAGUGUGUCUGGAGGUCCUGCACCGCCCAGAGGACAAGCUGAGCUGAGCUGAGAUGGGGAAAUUGAGGAUUGCUUUUUACAAAUAGCUGUAAUUUCGAAAGACUUAUGCAGCCACCAUAUGCUUAGCUGUCAUCUGUUUCCACCUACAGACUCUUAGCCAACAGGUGGAUGCUCACCCCACCCUUUCUAGUUUGUUUCCCAAACUGUUCUAUAAGAAGUUGCCUGAGAAUCACAAGAAAAGAUACCAGGGGAAUUAAUUAAAUAUGGUUUUUCACCUUUGGACCUUUUGAAAAUAUAUCACAUGUUUGAAAAUCACAUCCAUAGAAGUCUGCAAUUAAGUCCCAUAUAGAUGAUACAUAUUGGAUGAUACACUUCUGAGAUGCAUAGUACAGGUCUCAUGCUCAGGUUCUGCAGUUCCCCUAGUAUCAGGCUGAUGUUUGAGAUCAGGCAACUUUAAGAAGAGGAAAAAGGAGGCAGGACAAAGGAGCUUUGGACUGUUGCAGCAACCUAUAAAAAAACAACUAUUACAUGAUUAUACAUUUGAUUGUGACACCUUGGAUACAGAUUGCAAAAGACUGGAAGAAAUCAAGCUUAUCUACAACAGAUGAAUGGCUUUCAAGUGCCAGGCAUACACCUUCAAUAAUGAUAAACAUCACACCCUUCAAAAUACUCUGAGACAAUAGAAACCCCACACUUAUAGGCAACUGUGCAAAGAAAAUAGGGGUUGGAGAAAAGGAAAACGGGGGCCUUUUGUGAUGUUGGGAUCAAAUUAAACCAUACAAAUGUGUAUGGAAGAGAAUACAAAUAUUGUUUAAUCUUGUUGAAUUUAAAGUCCCAAUUAAUUUUUAAAUAGAAUCCAGCAGGAAUUUUUGUGGGGGUUUUUCGUAGAGAUGUUUUUUGUACAGUCAAACACCCGCCCUCGUCUUGGUAAAAAUACAGCAGCUUACAGAAUUGACAAUAUGCCUGUUAAAAAUAUCUCCAAAUUUACUACAGGUGGAAAUGAUUUGGGUGUCAAGAUUUAAUACAAGUUUUAGAAUUGAAGUUUGAUCUUUGACCUCAAAUGUAAACUGCUUUUUUUCUCUGAAUCCUUAUUUACAUUUAUUCACAAACUUACACCUUCAUUUUUUGAGAGUGAUUUUUUUUGACGUUGUACAGCUCCAGCAUCUUUCACAUGCGCUCAUUCAUUUCCCACAUCAUGAAAUCAGAGCAGUCUAGAAUCCAUUUCAUAAUGUGCCAUAAUAAUCCUAGAUUGGAUCUUGUUUUGUUUUCUCUGUUCAGCAACUUAGGGUAGAAUUUGGAAUAGGAAUUACCAAUUGUGUUCCCCAUUUGUUGUUUCUGUGACUAUUUUUAAAAAAAUAGUUUACACCAUUGUUUUGUCGCAGUCUAGCCCCACUGCUUUGGCGAUGCAGAUUUUGGAUCAAAAGUUAAUACAAUGUGACGUAUUAUUGAUUAGGAAUGGCUCCCACCGUCAUGACCGCCUGCACUGCAACUCUUGUCAGUCUGGAUUUUGUUUAUUUAAACUGAGAUCUCAUUAGUAUUUACAUAUGCAAGAACACAAUAUCCUAUAGUCAUUUGUUAAAUGUUCUGGAAUUUGGUCAAGGUGCAAACAAGCUUGCAGCAAUUAGGGAAAAAUAUACAAUCUACAUGAAAGUCACAUUGAAGGUAGAAAAGAAGGUGGGCACAAGAAUCAAAUUCAUUGAAUUCAAAUGCUAACUAGUUGCUGAGAAGUUAUUCUUUUGGGAUUCAGUCAUUUGGGGCAUGGCAGCUCAUCUCUCACUUCAAAUUAAUGUGAUGAACAGUCAUUACUUAAAUAUAAUUAAAUGUGUAUGACUCACAGAAAUUAUUGGCACAGCCAACCACUUCCCCUCCACAAAACAUUGAACCAAUGCCUAACCACCAACCUUACAAAGUUGUGACGA